rnacentral:rRNA from 1 species
CCCUUAGACGUUCUGGGCCGCACGCGCGCUACACUGACGAAGGCAACGAGCUUUCCUUUACCGAAAGGUACGGGUAAUCUUUUGAAACUUCGUCGUGCUGGGGAUAGAUCCUUGCAAUUUUUGAUCUUAAACGAGGAAUGCCUAGUAAGCGCAAGUCAUCAACUUGCGUUGAUUACGUCCCUGCCCUUUGUACACACCGCCCGUCGCUACUACCGAUUGAAUGGUUUAGUGAGGCCUUCGGAUCCGCGACUCGUUUGUGGAGAAGUUGGACAAACUCAGUCAUUUAGAGGAAGUAAAANUCGUAACA